CUAGCAUAUCAAUAAGCGGAGGAAAAGAAACCAACAGGGAUUGCCUCACCCACGGCGAGUGAAGCGGCAACAGCUCAAAUUUGAAAUCUGGCUCCGGCCCGAGUUGUAAUUUGCAGAGGAAGCUUCUGGAGACGCGCCGUCUAAGUCCCCUGGAACGGGGCGCCACAGCGGGUGAGAGCCCCAUGUGACGGUUGCAGACCCAGUGUGAAGCUCCUUCGACGAGUCGAGUAGUUUGGGAAUGCUGCUCAAAAUGGGAGGUAAAUUCCUUCUAAAGCUAAAUAUUGGCCAGAGACCGAUAGCGCACAAGUAGAGUGAUCGAAAGAUGAAAAGCACUUUGAAAAGAGGGUUAAACAGCACGUGAAAUUGUUGAAAGGGAAGCGCUCAUGACCAGACUUGCGCCGGGCUGAUCAUCUGGUGUUCUCACCAGUGCACUCCGCCCGGCUCAGGCCAGCAUCGGUUUCGGCGGGGGGAUAAAGGCGCUGGGAACGUAGCUCCCCCGGGAGUGUUAUAGCCCAGCGUGCAAUACCCCCGCUGGGACCGAGGUCCGCGCAUUGCAAGGAUGCUGGCGUAAUGGUCAUCAGCGACCCGUCUUGAAACACGGACCAAGGAGUCAAGGUUUUGCGCGAGUGUUUGGGUGUCAAACCCGCACGCGUAAUGAAAGUGAACGUAGGUGAGAGCUUCGGCGCAUCAUCGACCGAUCCUGAUGUUUACGGACGGAUUUGAGUAAGAGCGUUAAGCCUUGGACCCGAAAGAUGGUGAACUAUGCUUGGAUAGGGUGAAGCCAGAGGAAACUCUGGUGGAGGCUCGCAGCGGUUCUUACGUGCAAAUCGAUCGUCAAAUCCAACCACCGGGGCGAAAGACUAAUCGAACCAUCUAGUAGCUGGUUACCGCCGAAU
rnacentral:rRNA from 1 species